UAUUGUGUACUACAGUUGUUGAAAGUUGUAAAAACAAGUAUUCUGUGUCAUUUCAGCAUGACAGCCGAGAAAAAGAAGAAAAAUAAGGUGCGCCACAAGACGCCCUAUGAGAAAAGACGAAACCAGCAUAAACUCAAAAUGCAAAGAUACCGAGAACUAAGUCUAAUAUUCACUCACACAAAUGGAAGUAUGAUUUAUUAAAAAUAUAAUGUUGACUUAUGUUUGUGCAAAUAUCCAGUGAAAAAUAAUUCUUAUAUUAAGAGAAUGGAAACCCUCUUACUUGCCCCUCCCCAUUCCCUCCAAUAUAACAUAAUUAUAUUGGUCCCCACCCAUACAUUUUAGUUGGAGAGAGGCAAGUGGGAACCUAAUACUUUUACCUACGUUGUGAACACUCUUUCAAAGUAGUGACAAUCAAGCAAUUGCAUUUAAAAAAUCCUAAACUCCUACAACAUUUAUCAAAAAGGCCGGCCUCGUCAUUAAUAGAUAUUAGGUACAUCUUUGUCUCCUGACUAUCAUUGUGUAUUCAUCUUGGCUUUUUGGGAGUAAAUAACCAGUUUUUUUAUCUGUCUCAUUAUGGAAAAAAGGUUGAUACAGGAUGUCGACGCUGUCCCAUUCAGCAACGGAGAGUUAGCAGGGAGAUUCGGGAGGUCUCCAAAACGGGUGUGCUGCCAAAGUGGGAAAAGAGGAUAUGCAUAAAUGGAUAUAUGCAAUCCAUUUCCCAGUAACUCGGAGCACAAUCCCACAACUGCACGGGUGAUCUCCAAUCAGGGAAGAAGGGAUGUUCAGCCGCUAUUAUCAUGAAGGAGGUCAUUCAAUUCAUCGAGAACAAGAACAUGCUAUAUAAGCACAGUGCGCCGCGUGUAUGCACAACCAUGGAGUCGGAAUUAUGGA